rnacentral:rRNA from 1 species
UACGAAGGGGGCUAGCGUUGUUCGGAAUCACUGGGCGUAAAGGCGCGUAGGCGGCCAUAUAAGUCGGGGGUGAAAGCCUGUGGCUCAACCACAGAAUUGCCUUCGAUACUGUAUGGCUCGAGACCGGAAGAGGUAAGUGGAACUGCGAGUGUAGAGGUGAAAUUCGUAGAUAUUCGCAAGAACACCAGUGGCGAAGGCGGCUUACUGGUCCGGUUCGUGACGCGUGAGGCGCGAAAAGCGUGGGGAGCAAACAGG